AUUGAACGCUGGCGGCAGGCCUAACACAUGCAAGUCGAACGGAGUGGCGGACGGGUGAGUAAUGUAUGGGAAUCUGCCUGGUAGUGGGGGAUAACGUCCGGAAACGGGCGCUAAUACCGCAUACUAUCAGAUGAGCCCAGGUGGGAUUAGCUAGUAGGUGGGGUAACGGCCUACCAAGGCGACGAUCCGUAACUGGUCUGAGAGGAUGACAAGCCACACUGGAACUGAGACACGGUCCAGACUCCGACGGGAGUCAGCAGGGGGGAAUAUUGUACAAUGGGCGAAAGCCUGAUCCAGCCAUGCCGCGUGUGUGAAGAAGGCCUUCGGAUUGUAAAGUACUGUAAGUUAGGAGGCGUUACCAGCAGAAUAAGCACCGGCUAACUCCGUGCCAGCAGCCGCGGUAAUUC
rnacentral:rRNA from 1 species